UGGGGAAUAUUGCACAAUGGGGGAAACCCUGAUGCAGCAACGCCGCGUGAAGGAAGACGGUCUUCGGAUUGUAAACUUUUGUUCUUGGUGAAGAAGAAUGACGGUAGCCAAGGAGGAAGCCACGGCUAACUACGUGCCAGCAGCCGCGGUAACACGUAAGGUGCGAGCGUUGUUCGGAAUCAUUGGGCGUAAAGGGCAUGUAGGCGGUCUGUCAAGCCAGGCGUGAAAGCCAGGGGCUCAACCCCUGAACUGCGCUUGGAACUGGCGGACUGGAGUCGCUGAGGGGGAACCGGAAUUCCUGGUGUAGGGGUGAAAUCUGUAGAUAUCAGGAAGAACACCGAUGGCGAAGGCAGGUUUCCAGCAGACGACUGACGCUGAGGUGCGAAGGUGCGGGGAGCAAACAGGAUUAGAUACCCUGGUAGU
rnacentral:rRNA from 1 species